rnacentral:lncRNA from 1 species
CGGUAUGUCACCUUACCUACUGUCCUGACGGUAUGUCACCUUACCUACUGUCCCGACGGUACGUCACCUUACCUACUGUCCUGAUG